rnacentral:misc_RNA from 1 species
GAUGAAGAACGUAGUGAAAUGCGAUAAGUAAUGUGAAUUGCAGAAUUCAGUGAAUCAUCGAAUCUUUGAACGCACCUUGCGCUCCUUGGUAUUCCGAGGAGCAUGCCUGUUUGAGAGUCAUUAAUAUAUCAACCUUCUCUUUUUUGAGUUGUUUGGAUGUGGGGGUUUGCUGGCCUCUUAAAUGAUUCAGCUCCCCUGAAAUGCAUUAGCAGAACAACCUGUUCAUUGGCGUGAUAAUUAUCUAUGCUAUUGAAUGUGAGGGCAGUUCAGCUUUCUAACCGUCCUUGGACAAUUCAUCAUUAAUGUGACCUCAAAUCAGGUAGGACUACCCGCUGAACUUAAGCAUAUCAAUAAGCGGAGGA